GCGGGCGUAGCUCAAUUGGCAGAGCGCGAGCUUCCCAAGCUUGAGGUUAUGGGUUCGACCCCCACCGCCCGCUCCA
rnacentral:tRNA from 3 species